UACGUAGGGGGCAAGCGUUGUCCGGAAUUAUUGGGCGUAAAGAGCGUGUAGGCGGUCCGGUAAGUCGGCUGUGAAAGUCCAGGGCUCAACCCUGGGAUGCCGGUCGAUACUGCCGGACUAGAGUUCGGAAGAGGCGAGUGGAAUUCCCGGUGUAGCGGUGAAAUGCGCAGAUAUCGGGAGGAACACCUAUGGCGAAAGGCAGCUCG
rnacentral:rRNA from 1 species